rnacentral:rRNA from 1 species
GACGAACGCUGGCGGCGUGCUUAACACAUGCAAGUCGAACGGGAUCCGGGCUUUCGGGUUUGGUGAGAGUGGCGAACGGGUGAGUAACACGUGGGUAACCUGCCCCCUUCUUUGGGAUAACGUCGGGAAAUCGGCGCUAAUACUGGAUAUUCUUGCUGCAUCGCAUGGUGUGGUUUGGAAAGGGUUUCUGGUGGGGGAUGGGCUCGCGGCCUAUCAGCUUGUUGGUGGGGUGAUGGCCUACCAAGGCUUUGACGGGUAGCCGGCCUGAGAGGGUGUCCGGCCACACUGGGACUGAGACACGGCGCAGACUCCUACGGGAGGCAGCAGUGGGGAAUAUUGCACAAGGGGCGCAAGCCUGAUGCAGCGACGCCGCGGGAGGGAUGACGGCCUUCGGGUUGUAAACCUCUUUCAGUAUGGAACAAGGAUCCUUCUUGUGGGGGGUUUGAGGGUACGUGCAGAAGAAGCGCCGGCUAACUACGUG